UGUGCCACAGGUGACUGCGAGCCUUGUUGAAAAACACAUGUUGGUGAUAACGCCUUCUUACUUCCCGGCCCAUGUUGGGCAUUAUAAUGUGCAACGCAACCGUUAGGCAGGGUCCAACUAGCCUAAGUAGCUAUUUGUAACAAGGCCAAGAAUUUAAAGCCAACUUCAGCAAUUCUCGAGAGAUGCUUAAUUACUCACAGGUGAUGUUGCUAGGCAACCACUUCACCUUCUGAUUCUGCUGCUUCACCUAAGUGUGGUCCUCAGUUUGCUUUAUCGUUACUGAAUGUUAAAAGACGUGGAGAAGUACAGUCGAAACGAUCUAUUUAAAACCAGGAAUUCCUUACAAAAGGCAGAAUUACUGGUAUCAAAUUCCUUCAAUUUCUAUUUUCUGAGAAAGUCUUCAUUUUUUCCUCACUUAUGAAGGGUAAAUCUACAGAGAUGCAGAAUUUCAGGUGAUACCAAAUAAGGAGGCCUGGGGUACCAGAAAGACGCAGCUGAGGAAUACUCUGCUGAAACCUCCAGGUCAGUUCCUGCUGUCAAGUACAGACGCACUUCGCUCUGUGGCCCUUCGCUUUACUGCACUUCACAGAUACUGUUUUUAGAAAUUAAAGGUCUGCGGCAGUCCUGCAUGAAAAAACACGACGGUAACCUUGACAAUGCUCGGCCCAGCUGUUUGAGAACUCCGAAAUGUGGACAGCAACAGGCAGAUUGAACUACAGCACCGUUAAUCCAGGUGCUUGAAGACUGGGGGCCAGUUGGCCAUCUUUGUGUCCCUCGGCGCCUCCUGGCCUGAGCUGAACUCGGCUGGGAACCCAGACCGGGCACAGUAAGGCAGAACCAGCAACAACGACAAACAAAGCAGUUCAGAAUUUAAACAAGACCCUCAGACAUCACAUUCAAAAUCUCCAAGAUUGUCCAAAUUUACUCAAAAUUACUCCAAAAAUUCCUCAGAAAUCAAAAUUCCUUACAAUCAAUCCAGAAUUACCCAGGGUACAACCAACCAUGAUGUUUAUUUCAUCUAGCUUGGAAAAAAAAAAAAAGCAAAAGAUGACCGACAGAGAUGUUGGAAGAAGCAGCAAUAAAAAUUGUGGUCAAACACUUUUGAAACAAGUGUUAAAAUGUCAAGUACAGAGAAUCUAUAUGAUAUAAAGAAGAAACAAAUAGUAACUCUGGAACUGAAAAACUCACUGAACAAAUUCAGUACCAGAUUGGAGAUGAGAAAAGUUGGUGAACUUCAAGAUAGA